rnacentral:snRNA from 2 species
GUGCUCACUUCCUCAGCACAUAUACUAAAAUUGGAACGAUACAGAGAUUAGCAUAGCCCCUGUGCAAGGAUGACACACAAAUUCAUGAAACGUUCCAUAUUUCU